rnacentral:tRNA from 2 species
GAUCUUGUAGUGAAGUUCACGUUGAGUUGCAAACUCAUUGAUGUGCAUUAAAGAUGCGCCAGGGUCU